CCAGAACCAGCAGCAAAUGAAGCCCAAAACACCAGAAAAAUUUACCUGCAAAUAACCAAAAAUAUAACCAAAAAAUAGCAGUAAAUUUAUCUAAAAACAACAAAAAAAUAAACUAAAAAAUAGCAGGCAAUUAACCCAAAAAUAGCAAAAAAAUUAACCUAAAAACAGCACCAAAUGAAGCCCAAAACACUAGAAAAAAUUUAACCAAAAACGGCAACAAAUCAUCCCAAAUACAACAAAAAUGGCAAAAAAUUUAACUGAAAAAUAGUAGUAUAUUUACCUAGAAACAGCAAAACAUUUAACCCAGCACCAGCAGCAAAUGAAGCCCAAAACACCAAAAAAAAAUUACCUGCAAAUAGCAAAAAAUAUAACCAAAAAAUAGCAAUAAAUUUAUCUAAAAAUAUCAGAAAAAUAAACUGAAAAAUAGUAGGCAAUUAACCCAAAAACAGCAAAAACUUUUACCUAAAAUUGCACCGAAUGAAGCCCAAAACACUAGAAAAAUUUAACCAAAAAUAGCAGUAAAUCAUCCCAAAUACAGCAGAAAAUUUAUCCAAAAACAGCAAAAAAAUUAAUUGAAAAACAGCAGUAUAUUUAUCCAGAAUCAAUAGCAAAUGAAGCCCAAAACACCAAAAAAAAUACCUGAAAAUAGUAAAAAAUAUAACCCAAAAACAGCAUUAAAUUUAUCUAAAAACAGUAGAAAAAUAAACUAAAAAACAGCAGCCAAUUUACCCAGAAGCAGCAAAAAAUUUAACCUAAAAACAGCACCAAAUGAAGCCCAAAACACCAGAAAAAUUUAACCAAAAACAGCAGCAAAUCAUCCCAAAUACAGCAGAAAAUUUGCCUAGAAACAAAAGCAUAUCAAACCCAAAAUUUUUCUGCAACUUCACAUAAUUCUCUAUCACUUCAAUUAUAUUUGAGAUAAAAACCCACUUCCAGUUUCAAAAUUGUGAUCCAUUACCCUUAAUUUAUUUGCUUGUGUCUAAUGUAUAUUUUCAUUUGUUUAUCAACCAAAAUCAAUGCAAACAAUAAUACAAAAUCAAGGUCACAAUAGUUAGCAUAACUCAUAUAGCACUCUAUAUCGUUCACCCACACUCGAAGCUUUUCCUAAACUAUGUAAUCACUCAUUUCAUUGUAUAAGACAACAUAAGUCACACCACGUUGCACCGCAAUCAAAUACACUUCAAUUAGAAAUGAAAGCCAUUGAACCUAAAAGUAUGCAGCAAAAAUAUACAUACUGAAAUCAAGAUUAUGAAAACUAAUUCCAAAAGUAAUUCUUGUUUGAACUUUGAAAGCAUGAAAAUAUCUUCUAUUCAUGUUGGUGUUGACUCAUGCUUUUGAUGCUUGUUUGUGUUUUUGGGGCCAAAUACAAAUGUGUGAGUGUGAGAUCUCUUGUCACAUAAUACAUUGCUUUUAAGGGUUGUGACUGUUCCUGAAGGUUCAAUUAUUUUCCCUAAUAAGUACCAAUAGAGUCUGUCAAACCUAUGGACCAAGCUAUAGGUACCAAUAGGUGCCAUGCAGUCAAUUAAGAGAGGAAUACCAGCUUACCAAGUGUGCAAGUCAAUCUAUAAAUCCAAAAGUUUAUGAUAACCACUUGCAGUUAGAGGGAAAAAAAUCUUUUAAAGGGUACAAGAGGUUUAGUGCAGACCACAAUUUGUGAUUGGUUGUUAACAGAAAUGAAAUAUAAUAAUGGAAUAAUACAAGCAUGGCAUAAAUUUUUUAUUCAUAACUCAGUAAUCGAGAAGUGCAUACAAAUGAUAAUUGAAUGCUUGAUGCGGAGCAGCAUUUAGAAACUAUUCUUAUGGUCUACACCUUUCUCAAUAAGCAUUAUAAAUUUAGUUUCAAAUCAAAUUACAGUAUCAGAAAAUAAAGCUUGCAGCCAAUAAUGGAGAAAAAAGACAGUGUCAGAAGAAAUUUUCAAGAAUCUGAGCUUCAAAUAAGUGAGUAUUAAAGACUUAACGGGAAAUCCCCAUUCAAUUCCCAUAUAAAAGAGAAAGAAGAAUGUAUGUGUGAUCUUUAACUAAACACUGACAUUAAGUAAACCCAAACACUUUGCACAGGAACUUCUUAAUUAACCCAAAGAGAGUUAAGUGAAAUUUCAGAAACUCCAAGAGAGCAGAUGAAUAACAAAAAAAAAAAAAAAAAACUGAUGGCCAAUCAAAAUCGAAGAAAAAAAAAAGAAAUAACAAAACAAUAAUAAUAAUAAUAAUUAUGAAGAGCAAAGUGGGUCAAAAACACACGCUGUGUUCAGGCAAUGCCAUGUGCCCACAUGCUUCAAUAGAAAAGAAAAAUAAUAAUAAAAAAAAUGUUUGCAUACUCUUUGCUUCCUUCCUAUUGAGAAAUUUUGACAAGCAAAUUCUCGCUUCCUUCCUAUUGAGAAAUUUUGACAAGCAAAUUCUCGUAGAGAAAUAAUAACUCCAACAACAGCAACAAGUUAUAACAACUGAAUAUCAUCAACAGGAAGAAGAAGAAGAAAGAGGAGGAGGCAAUGAUUUGAACAGAAACACCCUUGAAAGAAAGCAGUAAUGGGUUCGUGAGAGCAGAUCAAAUUGAUCUGAAAAGCUUAGAUGAGCAACUGGAGAGGCAUCUGAACAGAGCAUUGAAUAUGGAAAAAUCCAAGAAACAGAGAAAUUCUGAUGAUAAUAUUUUGGUCACUACCGCCGCCGCCGCCGCCGCUUCUGCUAAUGCCACUGCUACUGCAAUCGGCAAUGCUUCUAAUUUUCUCAAGAGGCAAUGGCAAGAGUGCACAGGAACUUCUUAAUUCCGUGAACAAAUGCAGAAAUUAUGACUAUGAAAGAAAACUAUGCAAACCCAAACACUUACAGCGACUUCUUAAUUCUUAGAUUCAAUGCCAUGAACAAAUUAUGACCAUGAAAGAAAACUAAAAUGCUUAGCAAUUCGAACGAGACAGAGGAUUAAACUUACCUUGCACAGGUGACGACGACCAAACCAAGAUAGAGGCAGCAACAGCAGAGACUCAGUAAUUCGAACAAGAUAGAAAAUCAAGACACAAAAUCAAUUCAAGAAUGGCUGCAAUCUGCAGACGUAUGAGAGGUUUCUUUAGGAAUUCGUUAAUUAGGGAUUAAUGAAAAAUAUGAACGGAAGUUUUCCCUUUUUAUUUUUUUAUUUCUUUAAAAGGUAAAUCCUCUUUUUUUUUCCUUUAAACUUACACCGGUAAAAUUUUAUUUUAAAAAAGUACUUAACCGGCUUAUAACCGGUUAGAUUUAAUUUAAUUAAAAAUUUUAUUAUUUCAUGAUUAUUGUGAAUCGUUGAUUUAAUCUAACGGUCCAUAAUAAUUACGACAUCGAUGCCGUAAUUUUAAUUACGGCAUCAUAGAAUUUUCCACAUCAUUAAUCUAAAGUUCUCCUAGUUCGAGGAUCCAAAAACGAACACUAUGAAUUCAGUGUAAAUUGGGUUUGGGAUCUUGAAUGACUGUGAAAGUUGGAAUGCAUUUUUUUUAAUUUUUGUGCAUUUUUUUUGGAGAGAGAAAUUGUUGUUUAAAUAAAUAUUAUCUUCAGAAUUAAAGUGAGUGCUGAUAGCAGCAAGUGAUUUUAUAGUAUAAUUUAAUAGUGUUUACUUAAAAAAGAGUAACAAUAGGAUUUUAGAGAUGUGACAAUAGUAUUCCCAGUAAUGCUACACAUCCCAAAUUUCUUAUUCCAAAAAGUUAUCCCAAAUGAUGUGUCAUUAAUUGAGUGGUUGAUAAUUAUUUACAAUAUCCAAGUGAAUUAAUUGUAUUAUCUUACCAACCAAUUGAUAAAUGCCACAUCAUUUGGGAUAACUUUUUGAGAUAAAAAAUUUGGGAUGUGUAGUAUUAUUGUAGUAUUCCAACUCUUAAGCAAAUUGCAAAUGGUGACAAAAUCACCCAAAACGUCGCUUUGGGUGCGUGUGAGUUUUUUCAACCGUUUAGCAAACUUAUCAUUUAUGUAAUAAUAUAAAACUACAUCUUUCAAGCAUUGCAUUGAAACAUAAUCACAGAAUGCGCUUAUGGUCUUACAAAAACAUGUGCUACGUACUAGCAAGAUGUUAUUAUUGUUGCUAUAUAUUGCAGUUCCAUGCAUGCUUGUUGAACAAUUUAUGGAUGACCGCGGCUACGUGGCCCACUCGGAGGUGGUGGUGGAGGCCAUGGAUGAUCAGAUAUAGAACCUGGCGGCGGCGGCGGUGGUGGACGAGCAAAGGAUGGUUGCAAAAGAAGAAGCAUUAUUAUGCAGCAUAACUCCAAAAGACACCAAAGCAGAUUGUUCAGCUUCAUCUCAUUUCUCAUUUUAAUUGCCCUCUUACCACAUAAGAGUUUUCUAAAGAUGUAUACAAAAUUAUUAGAUGAAUGAGAAGAUAUAAGUUAUUAUAUAGGCCCCUUUCCUUCAACCAUUUUCCAGUCAAUAAAUUAUAAAAAACAAACGCAAAUAAGUCAAGUCAAUUUUCAUCUUGAAUAAGUCGAAUGCAUAUAUAUUUUUUUCCAAUAUUCCUAUCCUAAAUGCGAAUCCAUAAAAGAGGUUGCUGACUUAAUUUUCUUGUUUCUCACUUUAUUUAAUUUUUAUAAAUUUGGCUCACGAUCAAUUAAUUGAAGAGUUUGGUGGAAAUUCAAUUUACUAUAAUCAGAUCAAUAUAAUUUAAUUAUUUUUCUUUUUACUUCAUGUCAUGAAAAUUAUGAAUACUUUGUAGAAUUUAGAGGAUUAAAAAUUCUAAUGCAUAUAAUUUUAUUUUUCAAACUGAAUAAACAUAUCAUUAUUGCUUCUUAGAACCUAUUACUUGUAUUUUAUGUUUUUGUCUCUUUUCAUAAUUUUUUUUUUUUACUUGAAAAUGUUAAUAAUCAUAAUAAAUUAGAUUGAAUUAAUAAUUUUUGCCUCUGUGAUAUAAAUAAUCGGUUUAUUGGAUUUUCUUCUCUUUCAUUGAUUUUUCAACUGUGACUUCUGAGUCGGGUUAAGGAUUGACAAAAACGUUGUAACCCACAAAGCACGCAUAAUUAAUUAAUGAGCCACUAAUUUCUUCUUUCUUAAAAGAAAUUUUUUGCAGGGAGAUUGAACAAAAGGCUAAUUCUUGGUAAAGAUCAGAAUCAAAUGGGUAUCCCCAUCACAAAUACAAGUUAAGCCACACAAUUUUUCUUGUUAUACUACUUAUUGGCACUUGUGAUCCUUGAAUUAUCAAACGAAUAGCAGGAACACUUCAACAUCUGUUGUCAUAGGGAGAGAAGUCCGUUCUCCCUUCGAUGUAAUACGCGGGCAAUUUACAUUGACUUUUCAUACGCGGGUGGGCACAAGCCGGUUUGGUUCUAGGGCAGAACCAAACUAAGAUCGAAACGAACUGAAACAAAUUAUUUUGGUUUGGUUUUGUUCGGCUUGCUUUGGACUUUUCACCUAAAUUUGUAUUCUUUUGUUAAUUCAAUUCAGUUGUGACCAUUACAAUUCAUGAUUUAUACAAAAUAUUAAUGUAAAAUAAUUUUAUAAUAAAUAAAUAUGAUCAUUUAUUAAAAAGUAAUACUUUUUUAUUUUAAACAGUGAACCAAUUGGUUCUCCAAUUUAUUUUUAACCGAAUUGAAUAAGAACCAUUCGGUUCUUAAAUUUCUAAACUAUUUAGUCUUUUUUAAUCUAAAAAUUGAAUUCAGAAACGAACCGAAUACUAAGCCCUAGUUUCAUACUUAUCAUAUUUAAAUUUAAAAAUGUCACCAUAUCAAUAAGGUGAUAUGGAGAUUAUCUCACCUACUUUUUAUGUAUGUAUCUUCAUUAUAGAAAAAAAAAAAAAAUUCGGUGCUCCUACUCAAUGGCAAAAUCAACAUUCUUUGAUGGACACCAAAAUGAUUAAAGUAUAACUUCAAGUUGGUUGUGACAUAAAAUCAGUGUUGUAAAUAGUGCGUUCGUAUAUUAUAAAAUACAAAUAUUCCCACUAAAAAAGAAUUAUUACACACAUAUAUUUAUAGUGUUUUUACUCAAUUAACUAUUAUACUAUAUGAUGUAAUAGUGGAUCCGCAUGAAAUCCCCAUUUGGUAUCCAGGCCUCAAUAUAUAUAUAUAUAUAUUCUUCUAUAUUUUUAAUUCAACAAAUAAUAAUAUGUCACAUUAUUCUAAAAAUGGGUAUUAUAUUUAAAAUUCUACAAUACUUAGAGGCUACUAGCCUCUAAUCUUUUGUCAUUAAUUAUUACUUGUUAGAAAAAUUCAGAUGAAAUAUUGUAUUUAAAAUUCCAUGUACUUACAGGCUAUAGCUACUUAGCCUCUAGUCCUUUUUCAUUAAUUAUUGCUUGUUAGAAAAUUCAGAUUUUAAUUUGCCAUGAAAAUAUGUAUAGGAUCAUGAUCCUCUACGAUACUUAUAGGUUACAACUACCUAAUCUUUAAUCUUUUACAAGGCUGGCUUUAACUAAUUGGGGCCUUAGGCAAAAUUUUAUUUUAGGUCCUCUAAUAUUAAAAUAUCAACCCCCACAAGAACAUUAAAUAGUUCAAAAAACCCUCACAAGAACAUCAAGUAACUCAAAAUUCAACUAUAUUUAAUAAUAUCUUGAAUUACAAAAAUUAUCAACAAGAUUCCAAAAAACAAAAUAUAGUACGAAAGAUAUCUAUUUAUUUCCACACGAAUAUUAACCGACUUUAUCUUCCACAAAUUCCACCUCCUUAAGAUAGUCUGCAUCUUCAUUAGCUACAACCAUAAUCUUCCUAUGAACUUUAAAUCACUGCUCCUGCCUACUAUGAUCCUUGCUUGUUGCAAGCCAUCACUAAUGCAAAUUACUAAUCAAUUAAGUUUUAUUCUUCUUUCUUUUUGUGAUGCAAAAUUAUUAAUUAAAAUGUUAUAUUCUAAUUUAGCUAACAAAUAUUUUUCAAUAGCUAAUAUAGCUAAUCCAUUCAAUUUUUCUUGUGACAUUGUAGUUCUUAAAUAAGAUUUUAUUAACUUUAAUUUAGAAAAACUUGUCUCAACAAAAGCAAUUGUUACAGGUACUGUAAAUAAUAUUCUACAAGUAAGAAAUGCAUUUGGAAAAGAAUCUACUUUUUUAAUAUAAUUAAGUCUAUCAAGUGGAGUAUUUCUUUCAAUAUGUAAAACUUCUUUUAAGACUUUUAACUCCGAAAACUAAUAUAGCUAACCUGGCGGCGGUGGACGAGCAAAGGAUGGUUGCAAAAGAAGAAGCAUUAUUAUGCAGCAUAACUCCAAAAGACACCAAAGCAGAUUGUUCAGCUUCAUCUCAUUUCUCAUUUUAAUUGCCCUCUUACCACAUAAGAGUUUUCUAAAGAUGUAUACAAAAUUAUUAGAUGAAUGAGAAGAUAUAAGUUAUUAUAUAGGCCCCUUUCCUUCAACCAUUUUCCAGUCAAUAAAUUAUAAAAACAAACGCUGUCCGAAUGUCAAGUCAAUUUUCAUCUUGAACAAGUCGAAUGCAUAUAUAUUUUUUCCGAUAUUCCUAUCCUAAGUGUGAAUCCAUAAAAGAGGUUGCUGACUUAAUUUUCUUGUUUCUCACUUUAUUUAAUUUUUAUAAAUUUGGCUCACGAUCAAUUAAUUGAAGAGUUUGGUGGAAAUUCAAUUUACU
rnacentral:lncRNA from 1 species